GGGCAUAUACCCAAAUUAUGCUCCAAGAAAUAACAGGUCAUAUGCUCCACUAUGUUCUUUUUUUAUUGGAUUUAUUUCUUUUUUUACAUUUCAAAUGUUAUUCCCUUUCCCAGUUUCGUGUCUGUAAGUCCCCUGUCACCUCCCCUCCCCCAUAAGGAUUUUCCCUCCUCCACCCCCUUACACCCACCCCCUGACAGUCCCUUGUACUGGAUAUUCAACCUUGGUUUCUCCAUCCACUGGUGUCUAACACUUAGCAUACUUAUUUAUAAUAGCCAGAAGCUGGAAAGAACCCAGAUGUCCUUCAACAGAGGAAUGGGUACAGAAUAUAUGGUACAUUUACACAAUGGAGUACAACUCAGCUAUUAAAAACAAUGAUUUCAUGCAAUUCAUAGGCAAAUGGAUGGAGCUAGAAAAUAUCAUUCUGAGUGAGGUAAUCCAAUCACAAAAAACACAUGUAUGCACUCACUGAUAAGUGGAUAUUAGCCCAAAAUUUUGGAUUGCCUUAGAUACAAUCCACAGGCCACAUGAAGAAAGAAGAAAAAAGAA
rnacentral:lncRNA from 1 species